GACGAACGCUGGCGGCGUGCUUAACACAUGCAAGUCGAACGGUGAAGCGCCCUCGUUUUUGGUGGGUGUGGAGGAGGGGCGAACUGGUGGGUAACACGUUGGUAACCUGCCCCCGUCAUCUGGAUAACCGCAUGAAAGUGUGGCGAAUACGGGAUAGUCGGGGUCUGUCGCAGGAUGGAUCUGGGAAAGAUAAGGUGUCGGUUGGGGAUGGGCUGGCUGCUUGUCAGCUGGUUGGUGGGGUGAUGGCCUGCAGGUGGGGUGACGGGUAGCCGGCGUGAGAGGGUGGACGGUCACAGUGGGACUGAGACACGGCCCAGACUCCUAGAGGAGGCAGUAGUGCGGAAUAGUGGACAGUGGGAGCAAGACUGAUGCAGCGACGCCGCGUGAGGGCUGGAGGCCUUCGGGUUGUGAAACUCUUUCGGCAUUGAAGCAGGCCUGCCUCGUUUGUGGGUGGGUUGACGGUAGCUGCAUAAGAAGCGACGGCUAACUACGUG
rnacentral:rRNA from 1 species